CAGUAGCCGCGGGAAUACGGAGGGAGCUGGCGUUGUUCGGAAUUACUGGGCGUAAAGCGCACGUAGGCGGUUAUUCAAGUCAGAGGUGAAAGCCCGGGGCUCAACCCCGGAACUGCCUUUGAAACUAGAUGACUGGAAUCUUGGAGAGGACAGUGGAAUUCCGAGUGUAGAGGUGAAAUUCGUAGAUAUUCGGAAGAACACCAGUGGCGAAGGCGACUGACUGGACAAGUAUUGACGCUGAGGUGCGAAAGCGUGGGGAGCAAACAGGAUUAGAUACCCCUGUAGUCCCUGUCUCUUAUAC
rnacentral:rRNA from 1 species